GCUGCGAUAGCUCAGUCUGCAGAGCAUGAGACUCUUAUAUCACAGGGUUUGUGGGUUUGAGCCCCAUGUUGAAAUCCUGCAUUGCAGAA